rnacentral:rRNA from 1 species
AUUGAACGCUGGCGGCAGGCCUAACACAUGCAAGUCGAGCGGAUGAAGGGAGCUUGCUCCUGGAUUCAGCGGCGGACGGGUGAGUAAUGCCUAGGAAUCUGCCUGGUAGUGGGGGAUAACGUCCGGAAACGGGCGCUAAUACCGCAUACGUCCUGAGGGAGCAAGUGGGGGAUCUUCGGACCUCUUGCUAUCAGAUGAGCCUAGGUCGGAGUAGCUAGUGGGUGGGGUAAAGAGCUACCAAGGCGACGAUCCGUAACUGGUCUGAGAGGAUGGUCAGUCACCUGGGAACGGAGACACGGACACUGCUCCUAAGGGAGGCAGCAGUGGGGAAUAUUAGACAAUAGGCGAAAGCCUUAUACAACCAUGCCGAGUGUGUGGAGAAGGUCUUCGGAUUGUAAAGCACUUUAAGUUGGGAGAAAGGGCAGUAAGUUAAUACCUUGCUGUUUUGACGGUACCAACAGAAUAAGCACCGGCUAACUUCGUG